rnacentral:rRNA from 1 species
UCUGGUGCUUGCACUAGAAAAACUUAGCGGCGAACGGGUGAGUAACACGUAAAGAACCUGCCUCAUAGACUGGGACAACUAUUGGAAACGAUAGCUAAUACCGGAUAACAGUAUUUCUCGCAUGGGAGAUAUUUAAAAGUUGGUUAUGCUAACACUAUGAGAUGGCUUUGCGGUGCAUUAGCUAGUUGGUGGGGUAAAGGCCCACCAAGGCGACGAUGCAUAGCCGACCUGAGAGGGUGAUCGGCCACACUGGGACUGAGACACGGCCCAGACUCCUACGGGAGGCAGCAGUAGGGAAUCUUCCGCAAUGGGCGAAAGCCUGACGGAGCAACGCCGCGUGAGUGAAGAAGGAUUUCGGUUCGUAAAGCUCUGUUGUUAGGGAAGAAUGGAUAUGUAGUAACUAUACAUGUACGAG